ACUUAUGGAUGAGUAAAGAAACUGGUUUCUUGAGAUGGGAUCUACUUAUGGUGAAGAUGCUGUGAA
rnacentral:pre_miRNA from 1 species